rnacentral:rRNA from 1 species
ACGGAGGAAAAUAAAAUAACAAUGAUUUCCCUAGUAACGGCGAGUGAAGAGGAAAGAGCUCAAAGUUGGAACCUGUUUGGCCUAGCUAAACAGGAUUGUAAACUGUAGAAGUGUUUUCCAGGCAAUCCGAGUUAAUAAGUCCUUUGGAACAGGGCAUCAUAGAGGGUGAGAAUCCCGUCUUUGAUUCGAGAGCUGCCUUUUGCGAUACACUUUCAAAGAGUCAGGUUGUUUGGGAAUGCAGCCUAAAUUGGGAGGUAAAUCUCUCCUAAAGCUAAAUAUUGGCGAGAAACCGAUAGCGAACAAGUACCGUGAGGGAAAGAUGAAAAGAACUUUGAAAAGAGAGUUAAACAGUAUGUGAAAUUGUUAAAAGGGAACCGUUUGGAGCCAGACUGGCUUGACUGUAAUCAAUCUAGGCUUUGGCCUGGAUGCACUUGCAGACUAUGCCUGCCAACGACAAUUUGGCUUGAGGGAAAAAACUAUUGGAAAUGUGGCCACUCGUGGUGUUAUAGUUCAAUAGAAAAUACCUUGGGCUGGAUUGAGGAACGCAGUGAAUGCUAUUAUGGC